UUUACUUCUGUAUGUUUAUAAAUUAUAUUAUUGAAGAAAAUUAUUUAGAAAGAAUUAUAAAUAUUGUUGUCAUUAUUAGUCAUGAAAAGUUUAUAAUUAUUUAUUUCUACGCACAAAAUUCGAUCUUUCAAUCUCAGAAUUACUGAUCGUGGAUACAGAACAUCCACGUUCCCUGACAACAUGCAAUGCCUAGAUCUUCUUUUAAUUUUCCGCUUGGCACAGUUGUGUGAUUUGAGUUUGCAAUAUCUCGCAAAUUGCAAAAACAGUAUGUCCUGCAAUUUUAUUUUUACACGAACCACAACUUCGUGAACGUCAAAAUGCUUCUCGCACAAAGUAUGUACUUAUACGCAACGCACGAACGUGAUGGUUGCACUAUUGCUAUAUAAAAAGGAAAGAGAGAUAGAAUGAAAGAGAAAGAGAGAAUGAGUAUAGAGAGAAAGAAAAAGAGUGAAAGAAAAAGCAACAAUAAAAUAAAUAUGAACGAAAGAAGGAACAUCGCAAUAUCGCGAAAAUCCAAGUAGGAUAAAUAGGAACAGAAAAAAAUAUAUAGAUAUUUUAUUUUCGAAACAGAAAAAAAAAAAAAAAAUAUCGUUUUUAUACAAUGUUA